AGAACGAACGCUGGCGGCAUGCCUAACACAUGCAAGUCGAACGCUCUCUUCGGAGGGAGUGGCGCACGGGUGAGUAACGCGUGGGAACCUGCCUUGGAGUGGGGGAUAACCGAUGGAAACGUCGGCUAAUACCGCAUACGUCCUGAGGGAGAAAGAUUUAUCGC
rnacentral:rRNA from 1 species